rnacentral:rRNA from 1 species
CACCGGGGACGACAGCAAAAUGUAGGCCAGGCUGAAGACCUUGCCUGAAUCGCUGAGAGGAGGUGCAUGGCCGUCGCCAGUUCGUACUGUGAAGCAUCCUGUUAAGUCAGGCAACGAGCGAGACCCGUGCCCACUGUUACCAGCAUAUCCUCCGGGAUGAUGGGUACACUGUGGGGACCGCCGGUGUUAAAUCGGAGGAAGGUGCGGGCUACGGUAGGUCAGUAUGCCCCGAAUUUCCAGGGCUACACGCGGGCUACAAUGAAUGGGACAAUGGGCCCCUCCCCUGAAAAGGGCUGGUAAUCUCACAAACCCAUCCUUAGUUCGGAUCGAGGGCUGUAACUCGCCCUCGUGAAG